rnacentral:rRNA from 1 species
UACGGGGGGUGCAAGCGUUGUUCGGAAUCAUUGGGCGUAAAGAGCGUGUAGGCGGCUUGGUAAGUCAGAUGUGAAAGCCCUGGGCUCAACUCAGGAAGCGCAUUUGAAACUGCCAGGCUCGAGUAGGGGAGAGGGAAGUGGAAUUCCUGGUGUAGAGGUGAAAUUCGUAGAUAUCAGGAGGAACACCGGUGGCGAAGGCGACUUCCUGGCCCUAUACUGACGCUGAGACGCGAGAGCGUGGGUAGCAAACAGG